rnacentral:rRNA from 1 species
AAAACAUGUCUUACUGAUAAUAAUUUUAAGUCUAAUCUGCCCAAUGAAAAUUAAAUGGCUGCAGUAUCAAUAACUGUACAAAGGUAGCAUAAUAAUUAGUUUUUUAAUUGAAAACUAGAAUGAAAGAUUAAAUGAAAUAUAAACUUUAUAAAUAAAAUAAAAAUUUAAAUUAAAUUUUAAGUUAAAAUUCUUAAAUAUAAUUAAAAGACGAGAAGACCCUUUAGAAUUUUAUAUUAAAUAUAAUUAAAUUUAUAAUAAUUUAAAUAUAAAUUAUAUUUAAUAUUUAAUUGGGGUAAUUUUAUAAUUUAAUAAACUUUUAAAUAAUUAUGACAUUAAUUAAUGAUUAUAUAAUCCUAAUUUUUAGUAUUUUAAAAUAAAUUACCUUAGGGAUA